rnacentral:rRNA from 1 species
UGGGGAAUAUUGCACAAUGGGCGCAAGCUUGAUGCAGCGACGCCGCGUGGAGGAUGAAGGUUUUUGGAUUGUAAACUCCUGUUAAGUGGGAAAAAAGACCCUUAUUUAAAAGAUGAGGGGGAUGAUGGUACCACUAGAGAAAGCACCGGCAAACUUCGUGCCAGCAGCCGCGGUAAUACGAAGGGUGCAAGCGUUAUUCGGAGUUACUGGGCGUAAAGAGCGCAUAGGCGGGUUAUUAAGUUAUAUGUUAAAUCUCCUAGCUUAACUGGGAAUAGGCAGAUGAAACUGAUAAUCUAGAGUGUAAGAGAGAGAAGUGGAAUUCUCGGAGUAGCGGUAAAAUGCGUAGAUCUCGAGAGGAACACCGGAGGCGAAGGCGGCUUCUUGGCUUACUACUGACGCUCAAGCGCGAAAGCGUGGGGAGCAAACAGG